UUUACCUGAAGGUAACCUGUGAAGAGGAGUCUGACAGCGUGUUGGGUUUUACCUGAAGGUGACCUGUAAAGAGGAGUCUGACAGCGCGUUGGGUUUUACCUGAAGGUGACCUGUAAAGAGGAGAGGAGUCUGACAGCGUGUUGGGUUUUACCUGAAGGUGACCUGUAAAGAGGAGUCUGACAGCGUGUUGGGGUUUUACCUGAAGGUGACCUGUAAAGAGGAGAGGAGUCUAAGCAACAAUAAGUUCCCUAUGCUGGACGUACAGAAGAACAGAGUCCGGUUCAGCAACAGGCUAUGUGGACCCCCUGCAGUCGUUGAGUGAUGUCGUCGCCCAGCUGGAUGCAGUGAUCGGCUUCUCUGUGGCCUCUAUCUCCACCCCAUCCCCUACACCAGGCUGGCUGUGGACUGCAGGGGUCUAGAGCUCCAACAGGCCAUGCCCAACCUGCCUGGAGUCAAGACACAGCCUUCAUAGAGCAGAGCUUAUACAGUGCCUUCAGAAAGAGGAAGGAUUGUUCCAGUCGUUUCAAGAGGGGAAAUCUCUGCCGGCCGCCACCACUACUGACCAGGAGGUAAAGGCGGAGCUUAAAGCCAUUAAGGUGGAGGUUGCCCA
rnacentral:lncRNA from 13 species